UCUCCGUUGGUGAACCAGCGGAGGGAUCAUUACCGAGUGCAAACUCAUAACCCUUUGUGAACCUAUAUCUGUUGCUUCGGCGGCUCGCUCUCGGGCGAGCCCGCCGGUAAUAUCAGUAUCUCUGUUUGAACCCGACGAUACUUCUGAGUGUUCUUAGCGAACUGUUAAAACUUUUAACAACGGAUCUCUUGGCUCUA
rnacentral:misc_RNA from 1 species